ACCUGAUAGCUCAGUUGGUAGAGAAUGAGACUUAAUCUCAGGUUCAUGGGUUCGAGACCCAUGUUGGGGA